CUUAGGACAACAUGACCAAGCAUCUUCUACCUGUUGGGCUCUUGGGUUGGCACCACAACCUCAAGAGUUAUUCCCUGAGCCCUUCCCUUGAUGGGAAAUGUUGAGACUCCAUUAUGUGUCAGGCGCUGACCUCAGGACUCAAGGAAGAGAUGAGGAUAAAUAAAAUAGGUCCACUUGUGCUGAGCUGAAGGACCCAGCAGAGAACACAGAGCAGGAGAUGAAAGGCACUCACAUGAAACAUUGCAAAUUGUUGUGAUACAUAAUAAAAACAUCACAGGGUCUCAAAA